CUUUUGAUAAUAUCUGUCUCGGCUUGUUUCGUCUCUUCCUCGUCUCGGCUGAAUCGGUCCGAAAAGCCGCUCUUCUUCUUUAUUAUAGGUCAAACUCUUGUAAUCGUCUUUAUCGAGUCGGAGCUUUUAGUUUCGAAACUAUUUAUAAAAGGUUUUGGUGCCUUUUCUUUUCGGAGCUUCGCAGAGUGUUUUCUUCGCCCUUUUUAGUAGAGAUGAGCAGCAAUCCGGCGGCGUUUUCUGAUAUUGGCAAGAAAGCCAAAGACCUCUUGAAUAAAGAUUAUACUUUCGACCACAAAUUUACAUUGUUAUUGCCGAAGACUACUGGACUGGGACUUACAGCUACUGGUUUGAAGAAGGAUCAUAUUUUCAUUGGUGACAUUAAUAGUGUGUACAAGGGUGGAAGUACUAUUGUGGAUGUAAAAGUUGAUACGUAUUCUAAUGUAUCAACAAAAGUGACUUUGAAUGAUGUCUUGCCAUCUACCAAAGUGGCAUUUAGCUUCAAGAUACCAGAUCACAAGUCUGGUAAGUUAGAUGUGCAGUACCUUCAUCCUCAUGUGGCCAUUGAAUCUAGUAUUGGCCUGAAUCCAACUCCUCUUUUGGAGCUAUCUGCUGCAGUUGGAAGCAAAGAAUUGGUUGUGGGUGGUGAAGUGGGUUUUGAUACUGGUUCUGCUUCAUUUACCAAGUACAAUGCUGGAAUUGGCUUAAACAAGCCUGAUUUCUCUGCUUCGCUUAUGCUGGCGGAUAAAGGACAGUCACUUAAAGCAUCUUACAUGCAUGCUGUGAAUCCAUUCACUUCCGUUGCUACCGAAAUGACUCAUAGGUUUUCUACCUAUGAAAACAGUUUCACCAUUGGAAGUGCCCAUGUUAUCAGUCCAUUCACGAUUAUAAAAACACGAUUGUCUGAUGGUGGGAAGGUUGCAAUGCUAUAUGAGCAAGAAUGGCGAUCUAAGUCACUGGUAACUCUUUCGGCAGAAUACGACUCAAAGACUGUUAAUGCAGCUCCCAAGUUGGGUCUUGCUCUUGCUCUCAAGCCUUGAUGUGGAACCAACUUUGCCCCAUUCUACAACAUAAAUUAAUUCAGUAUUUUGAACUUUUCACAUUUUUUUCUUUUUGAAAAUACCCAGAGGGUUAUGCUUUACGGAUUGCAUACUGAAAACUGAAAGAUGUAGCAAUGCCUUGACGGAACAUUCUUGAGCACAGCUAAGUAAUCUCCAUUACUCUAAUUGUUGAGCUUCUGGUAGUGCUGUCGCAAUUAGUUUUAACACGUUAUUGAAGUUAACUUGUGUGUGAUUACGAAUUGCUUCCUCUCUUCUCUUCUGCUCACUCAGAUGUAAUGUGGAGUAGAAUUGUGUCUUCUUCAAAGAACUAAUUCUGUAUUGCACAAACUAGUCAGAAUGACCCAGCAUGUAGUUAGUUUAAAUGUAGCUUUUUUAUGGCUUAAGCUGAUGAUGAAUGAGGCUAUUGGCUGAUUAUUUA